rnacentral:rRNA from 1 species
CCCUUAGAUGUUCUGGGCCGCACGCGUGCUACACUGAGUGGAUCAGCGGGUCAGGUUGCGCGAAAGUGUUUCCUAAUCUUUAAAUCCGCUCGUGAUGGGGAUUGACGGUUGCAAUUUUCCGUCAUGAACGAGGAAUACCUUGUAAGCGCGGGUCAUCAUCCCGCGCUGAAUACGUCCCUGCCCUUUGUACACACCGCCCGUCGCUCCUACCGAUUGAGUGGUCCGGUGAGGCUUUGGGAUCUGAGCGGAAAGAGCGUUUCGCUGUUUCUGCCCGGAAAACUCAGUCGAACCUUAUCAUUUAGAGGAAGGAGAAGGCGUAACA